GACGAACGCUGGCGGCGUGCUUAACACAUGCAAGUCGAGCGGAAAGGCCCUUUCGGGGGUACUCGAGCGGCGAACGGGUGAGUAACACGUGAGUAAUCUGCCCUUCACUUGGGGAUAACCUCCGGAAACGGUGGCUAAUACCCGAUACGACCAUUCCUCGCAUGAGGUGGUGGUGGAAAGUUUUUCGGUGGGGGAUGUGCUCGCGGCCUAUCAGCUUGUUAGUGGGGUAAUGGCCUACCAAGGCUUCGACGGGUAGCCGGCCUGAGAGGGUGACCGGCCACACUGGGACUGAGACACGGCCCAGACUCCUACGGGAGGCAGCAGUGGGGAAUAUUGGACAAUGGGCGGAAGCCUGAUCCAGCAACGCCGCGUGAGGGAUGACGGCCUUCGGGUUGUAAACCUCUUUCACCUGUGACGAAGCGAAAGUGACGGUAGCAGGAGAAGAAGCACCGGCCAACUACGUG
rnacentral:rRNA from 1 species